rnacentral:hammerhead_ribozyme from 1 species
CGCCGAAACACUCUCACUCAGGGGGAGUGUAUGCUUAGGGUAGUUCCUAGGUACUGAUGAGGCAGCUAAAC